rnacentral:lncRNA from 1 species
CCCGGCCCAGCUCCAGGUCGACAUCGCGUCUAAUGGGACCACUAACAAGGGCACCUCUGGUAUUAACGUAGAUCAUGGAAGCAAGGCUGACAAAAGGCAAGGAAGGACAACCCAAAAGUCUUCAGUUUGACAAAACAUUCAUGGAUUCUGAAUGGAAUGUUUAGCUUCAGAGGUUGAUGGUGAAACAAAAAAAGUGAAACACUAGGGUGGUCCUAACAAGGAGUUGGAAGAAAACGUAAUGUUCAAAUGGUGCCGUGAGAAGAUCAUUGUCUGAAAUCACUCUACUCUUUCAAUUCUAUAUUCUGCUGUGGCCGCUCAUUACAUACUAACAGCCUGAGUACUGUAGGUUAAACCUCCAUUGCCUAAACGUCCCAUCAUUUGUGAAGACUUAAAUAAGUACAAGAUGGAUCAAACUGUUACAAAGAAAUUAU